rnacentral:misc_RNA from 1 species
UCCGGCUUAACGCCGGCAGUCCCGCUAGAGUCCCCAACUUAAUGAUGGCAACUAACGGCAAGGGUUUCGCUCGUUAAGGGACUUAACCCGACACUUCACAGCACGAGCUGACGACAGCCAUGCAACACCUGUGUAUGUUUCACCCUUGCGGGUAGCUACGCUGAGUUAUCCCCAACAAGCAUCCAUACAUGUCAAACCUGGGUAAGGUUCUUCGCGUUGCUUCGAAUUAAGCCACAUGCUCCACCGCUUGUGUGAGCCCCCGUCAAUUCCUUUGAGUUUUAGCCUUGCGGCCGUACUCCCCAGGCGGCACACUUAUCACUUUUGCUUCGGCGGCGGAAACGUCAGAGUUCCCGUCACCUAGUGUGCAUCGUUUACGGCGUGGACUAC